UUUAAAAAAACAUAACUGCUGUACCUUUACAGAUCAUCAGUAAAAUUAAAUUUACAUAUCACCUUUCGGGAGAUAAAAAUCAAUAGGUUCUUCACAAUAAACUAACACAUCAACCAAAGAGCCAAAAAUGCUUAAAAAACAAGAAAAAAUAAUAAAGAGCAUAUAAAAAUGGAACCUAUAGAGUCCACCAAUCUCAAGUCAAAAGGAAAAGUCCGUCUUACUUUGUUUGUGACUUAGUGUGGGGAGUCAUGCUAUCUACAUUAUUGAUACAGUUUUGCUUGAAGUGCACAACAUGCUAAUGUGACAAUAAUGACAACAUUGCGUUCUUGUGAAUGCAAUGUUGUGAAACAAAAUAAAGAUUAAACAGUAAUAUAAAUACUUGGAAAUAUAUGUUGAUACUAAUAUGAGAUAAACUUAGUUAUCUUGCAAAAGCAUUUCCCUUUUAACUUUUUUAACACUUGGUAGAAUCACAUAAUUAUGGUUCUUUACAUCUCCUAGUUUAAUGUUAUGGUUCUCCACAUUUUUAUUACAGUUAACUUGGAUGAACUCAAUCCCUGUUGCCAUGUAUGCUAUAAUUACUAAUCACUUAAUUAAGCCAUAAAAAUAUUGACUCUCAGAUUAAUUAAGGCCCAAAGCCAGAAUCAUUCACUGAUGUCUUCUUUUUCCUUACAGCACUGAAGCAACUGGGAUAACAUUGUUACUUGUUUUUUUAGCAGAAAUAUGACUAUCUAAGUAAAUUUGUAAUUCCUAACUUAACCAAUUUGAUUAUAUAUUAAAUGAAUGGUGGGGACGAUGGUAGGAGUUUACCGUUUGUUGGCUGCUCUGUUUGCCCAUCUCACUGUGUCCUUGUGCCCUCUGAUCAUCUGUCUGCUGCUGGUUAAAGAGCCUGGUUGAGCCUGGAGCCUCCAGGCAGCUACUAUCCGGUAGCUUCCUGCCAUCAACAUGAAUGUGUGAGUGAAUGACUGAAUGUAAAGUGAAGGUCCUCUGUACUUGAUAUAGUGCAGUACAAGUUCAGGCUUUUUUAUUUGCUGUUAAAUUAAUCAUGAUUUUUGCCAUCUGAACUAAAAACCUGUAUUAAAACAUUAGCUUUGAAAUAAUCUAUCAAUGUGUAAUAAUUUAUAUAUUUCUAAUAAAAAACUGUGAUGGUUGAAAA